rnacentral:lncRNA from 11 species
GCUGAAAGCUGUUACUGCCAUCACCUGUUGUUUCCUGCUAUCUGGCUGCUCACAGAUUUCACUUACCAAUGCUGAGAACAAGACCAUUUGGUGCUAUGUCUCCAUAAACUGUGGCAGACUGCUGUUGCUUGUAAGGAAGAAGAACAGUUGAUGGUUGGGCAGUUUAAACAUCCAAUCUGUUGCAGAGAUGCCUCCUGAGAAGGUGCAAAACUGGGG